rnacentral:tRNA from 1 species
UGGGAUGUAGCUCAGUGGUACAGCACUUGCCCAGCCUGUGCAAGGCCCUGGGUUUGAUCCCCAACACCUCGA